UACGGAGGGUGCAAGCGUUAUCCGGAUUCACUGGGGUUAAAGGGUGCGUAGGAGGGCAGGUAAGUCAGUGGUGAAAUCUCCAAGCUUAACUUGGAAACUGCCGUUGAUACUAUCUGUCUUGAAUACCGUGGAGGUGAGCGGAAUAUGUCAUGUAGCGGUGAAAUGCUUAGAUAUGACAUAGAACACCAAUUGCGAAGGCAGCUCACUACACGAAUAUUGACUCUGAGGCACGAAAGCGUGGGGAUCAAACAGG
rnacentral:rRNA from 1 species